rnacentral:rRNA from 1 species
AUUGAACGCUGGCGGCAGGCCUAACACAUGCAAGUCGAGCGGAUGAAGGGAGCUUGCUCCUGGAUUCAGCGGCGGACGGGUGAGUAAUGCCUAGGAAUCUGCCUGGUAGUGGGGGAUAACGUCCGGAAACGGGCGCUAAUACCGCAUACGUCCUGAGGGAGAAAGUGGGGGAUCUUCGGACCUCACGCUAUCAGAUGAGCCUAGGUCGGAUUAGCUAGUUGGUGGGGUAAAGGCCUACCAAGGCGACGAUCCGUAACUGGUCUGAGAGGAUGAUCAGUCACACUGGAACUGAGACACGGUCCAGACUCCUACGGGAGGCAGCAGUGGGGAAUAUUGGACAAAGGGCGAAAGCCUGAUCCAGCCAUGCCGCGUGUAUGAAGAAGGUCUUCGGAUUGUAAAGCACUUUAAGUUGGGAGGAAGGGCAGUAAGUUAAUACCUUGCUGUUUUGACGUUACCAACAGAAUAAGCACCGGCUAACUUCGUG